CGCUAUCUGGCAGCCACUUUGGUGGUUCUGUUUCGAGAAUCUCUCUCGCGUUGCCAAAGUUGGCUUCGGUGAGAGUGUGAGCCAUCUCUUGCCAAGCUUGUUCGAGAAGAUGUUGUCCCGCGAAAAAUGAAAUGCCGCUCUCGAGGUUGCCUGAAGUAAGAGCGGUUGCUUUACCACGUGCUGCGAGUAACAUAUCGACUAUCACAUCCCACAUUGUUAGCUCCUUGUCUUCAUCAAGGAUCUGGUUCCAUCCCAUCUCUCCCUCGGGGAAGUAACCACCGUUGAAGCUAAGCCCUCUUGACCAUUCCUCAUGAUCAGGCUCCAGCAUUGGUGGGACUGAAACUGGUAUCCAAACACCGGUUUCUUCAGAAAGUGGUGUGUCAUAGAAAAAGUAUUUACCACGCUUCUGCUGAUCUGGUUCAAGUUUGUUGCUCUCGUCUUUACGUAAGGUAGAAUCUUCUUGUCUAGCCUCCCUGAUGGUUUGACUUGCAACAUUACCAGCAUUAGAAUCACCAAGAUUGACAUCCUAUGAUCAACAAUCAGAGACGGAGAAAGUUAGAACUUUUAAAUCAACCUAGUAUAGAUUUCGUUUGAUCUAGAGAAGGAAAAAUAAAAGAAUUUAAACAACAUACCAUUCCGAGCUUCAAAUUUUGAUAAUCUGAUUCAAGUCUUUUGCUAUCGUCUUCACGUAAGGUAUAAUGUUCUUGUAUAGUCUCCCUGAUGCUUUGACUUACGACAUUACCAGCAUCAGAAUCACCAUGAUGAUCUCGAACACUGUCAUCCUAUGAUCAGCAAUCAGAGAAAAGAACUUCAACAAACCAUUUCGAGCUUAAAGUUUAGACCUUUGAGCUCAACCCUAGUAUAGAUUUAGUUUGGUUUAAGACAAGGAUUCAAAAGAUGAAAAGAACAAACCAUUUGGAGCUUCAUAUUCUGAUGAUCUGGUUCAAGUCUUUUGCUCUCGUCUACAAAGCCUUCAUCCAAGGUAGAAUCUUCUUCUUCUUUAGUCUCCCUGAUGCGUUGCCUUACGACGUUACCAGCAUCAGCAUCACCAUGAACUCCUUUAUCCUAAGGUAUAAACAAUGAGACAGAAACGAAAAAUUAACCAAAGCAUUUCGUGUUAAAGUUUAGACCUUUAAACCCAAACCCUAGUAAUUCCAUUUGAUUAAGCCACCGACACAUCGAAACUAAAAACUAAAAACACCAAACACAUGUGCGAUGUCUAUGAGAUGACGAUCAUUAUCAAAAUUAACCCUAGUAUUAUGAUCGCGUAAAAAGCCGAACAAAAUCGAUUCGACUCACCAUCUUUUUUAGAUUUGAUCCUUCCUUCCUUCCUUCUCUCGACUUGGAUUCUUACGAUUUUGAGUUCCUUUCGUUUGGGGAAAAAACUCAGCAAACACAAACACGCGACUUCAUCCAGAGGGAAACGAUUACAAGUUAACACCUUUCUCAUACGAUUUUACUUCUAUUUUAUUACUCUGUUUUACAUUUAAGUCCUCAUAUUUUAUACCUUUUUUAUAUUUGGACCCCAAACAUUCGUUUUUGAUAAUUUACUCCACAUUUUAGAAAGGAAAGUGCAACAGAACCCACAAAGAAACUGUCUUAAUUCUUCUUUUGGUUGUCUGGAUUUGUUUGUAUAGAGUAAAUUAGUAGGCAAAUGAAGAGUGGGAGCUUAUCUUGGUUGAGCAUUGCUAGCACAAAAGAACUCUCACAAAUGAAGCAAAACCAAGUGCACAAGAGAAACUAGAAAAGGUUAAGCAAGUCAGGCUCAGAUUAAGUUCGAAUUUGUGGUCAAUCUCAUGCUCUCAGACCAUGUAUUGUGGGCUUGGAUAACAUACUUGUGCCUAUGUCAGGUUGGUAAGGGAUUAUGGAAAAAUAAUAAAAUCGUCAUAAACUCUGAGAAGCUUUAGCCAAAAAAAAGAAAAAAAAAAAACUUUCAGAAGCUUAAAUUCAAUCCUAAAACUUCUUAACGGUUCUUAUCUGCAACUGCAAUCUGCCUUCACAAAAAAAUAAAACAUAUGUAUAUAUAUAAGCCAUGACAGAAGCAAACGGAAGAAGCCAUAAAAUUAUGUAUACCACCACUUAUCAGUCCCUCUAACAAACAAUACAUCAAAUCUUUGCCCCCCCUACUUGAUCCAAGACAAUAUUGUUGCUUGUGUGCUUCCAGCUGGAAAAAAAAGACUUCAUGUUCUUCCAAACCUUCAACAACAGUAUGCUGUUUUCUUCAAACAUGCACGUUCUGAAACUCUCGAGGAAAGUGCCUGCAAAACAAACCACAACUUUUGAUCAGACGUGAAACCAGAAACAAAGACACAACGUGACUGAGCUAGAAAAUUGCACUGUUCAAAGCAACAACUCAAAACCAACGUUUCUGGAUUGUGAAUCUGUGACUACGUUAAUUCUCCAAAGCUAAACCAUGUGAUCAAGAAGAUGCACAGUUUACCUUAAUCAUCAUUAUCUUGCAACAGGUUUUUGAAGCAGAGCUGUCAAGAAAACUUCACCAUGUUUCGAAUCAACUUUGUUCGCCACCGCCCACUUCACCUUCUUAUAACCCAACUUCCCGAUCAUCGGCGCAUACACAUUCUCAAGAUCAACCUUUUUGCUAAAAAACCGGUCCAACCAUAGAUAACCACCACCUCGAAGAACCCGGUCCAAAUCAAACAAGAAAAACUCCAUAACCGUAACCGGAAUCCACCGGUUCACCGCCCGUCCACACCUAACCAAAUCCACCACACCGUCAAACACCGGAAGCCUCUGCUGGAGAGGCACGUGGAGCGGCACGAGCCCUCUCAACGCCACCGCCUCGCUAUACGGCGCGUUGAAGUUCAUCGUCGUGGUCAGGACGGUUACAUUGCGAGCCUUCAUCGCCGCGGCGAAAGAUCCGGUCCCACCGCCGACGUCGAUCCCGAGCCGGAGGACGGAGUUGGCGGUUUUGGCGAUCUGGAGGAGCUGAGAGAUGGGGAGAUCGAGCUCGGACUUGUAAGAAGAGAAUUGAGAUUUGGAUUUGUGGAGGGAGAGAUCGAAACCUAGACCGGGGAACUUCGUCGUCAAGCAAUCGAAAGUCUUGCACGAGUAGUAAGACCAGAUAACGUUCGACUCCGGUUUGGAAUCGGUCGGGUUUCGCGGCGUACGGGAGAAGCAGCGACGGCGAGGGAGCGGGUGGCAGCCGCGGAGGAUGAGUUUCUCGGCGAGAUCGGUGUCGGAAGGGCAAGUAAAGAAAGGAGUGUAGUUCAUGUACUCGUGGAGGAGGUCGGGGUAGUUGUGGCAGGCGGAAGCUAUGGGAGAGAGCUUAGAGUAGAGGAGGAGAUCUUUCGGCGGCGCGGAGGAGGAAAUGGUUGAUGAAGUUGAAGUAGAUUUGUCCGGCUGGUGGUGGGUUGUGAGGUGGUUGAUGGCGGAGCGGAUAGUGUGGAGCUGACGGAGGAGGUGGUCGGGGACAGUGGGGACAGAGGACGGUGAGGAUUUGAGGGUGGAUUGGAAGAAGCUGGUGGUGGAGGAGAGAUGGUAGAGAGAGAGGAUGUUGGUAGCUACCAUAGCUACUAGUAGAAGCAGAUUUAAGCUCAUAGUGAAUCCCGCCAUUGUUGUAGCUCCCUUUCUCCUCUCAGGAGCUUCUCUCAGAUCCAAGUUCUUCAAUCUCUGUUUCGUCACACAGAUUCUUGGUUAUUUUUUUCCUGAGAGAGAACCUGAUUCUUGGGCUUUAAUGGUGUCUUAAAGCCAAGAUUUCUGGGUUUUUUCAGGCUGGAUUCUUGGAGUUAGUGACACUUGAGUUAGAUAAACUUUUCAUCAAAGAGGAGACCUUUCAAGUCAAAGUCUUGUAGCAGUAGAGAUACAAACAUAGAUCUGAUCUGAGUGUAUGUAUAUAGUUUUAUGUAAUUUUAAUUUACUUACAAUGGAAAAAGGCAUUUAUUCGGAUCCAAUGUCAUUAUUGAUUUCCCAAAAUUUGCAUGGAAAAAGUAACAAUCCUGGUGAAAAGUUGUACUGUACUAAAAUCAUCUUAAGGCACGUAGGGAAAUUUAACACAUUUGUUCUGUUCACAUGUCUUGUCUUUUGCUUACCUUUUCAUAUACUAGUUAUGUGUUAUUAUUGCAGUAAAAUGUCAUAAAAAAAGAUUUGUUUCAUCUACUAGUAUCAAAACUUAAUCGAGUUUGUCUACUGGAAACAAAAACUAGAGCUUGCUUAAUCAAAACUUUAAAAGCAUCUUACUCAGUUUAGUCCAUAUAAUCACUCUCUUAGUUAUCUUCACACAUGAUUCCAAAACUGAGGAUUAUGUGUGUUUGCUGCUACAAUGUGGUUAGGAUUAUGUGUUUACAAAGUACAAACUAUGCACUUGAAAUGUAACGGAGAACACAAAAUAUAUGAGAACCAAGGAUCAUUGUGUGAAACCAGUAUCUUUACAAAUGGAUCAAUUUGAGCAUAAUUGUUGAGGAAACCAAAUGAAAAAAGCCCAAUGCAGGCAACAGAUCCAUAAAAUGUUAAGAAGCCGAAGCAAAACAACACCAAGUGACUUCAUUUAUUUAUUUUACUAGGUGUUUUCCUGCACCAUGUUCAAUAAUUUUUUUUUAAAAUCUAAUUUAUAUUUAAAAAUAAAUUUUAUUAAAUAUUAUAUACUUUACUAUUUUCUUACUAAUAUUUAAUAUAGAUUUGAUAUAUAUUAAAUCAAUUUGCAUAAAACUAAUAAAAAUUGUAUAAUUAUCAAAAAUUUAGCCUAAUGGACCUCUCAGUCCUCGAAGAACCAACCUGAUUAGAGAUUUUCAAAUAUAAGAAAUGCUUUUAGAGCCAUUAAUAAAGUGAGCUAAAAGGAGCCGAAGAUCUCACCUUGGAUAUAUAACCCCGGAUAGUGUUUGUUGCUUUAUAAAUCUCAUACUCCAUAGAUUGUCCCCAUGGAAAAUUCACCCAAGACCUCAACGUACUAAGAUCCGUCAAGUCAUGAGUCGGUAACUGAGCAGCAGGACUUACUUGGUCCAUCAGAUAAGGCUGCACAGUCUCCAGCCUCACACAACACACAUCACAAACCCUUUGAGGAUCCGAAACGCGGAACUUCACCGGAAGCAAGCUUCUUCCUUUAGAACAGUCUCUGCAGAACAAUCCUCCACAGUAUCGACAGUGAUGACGCGAACACAUGAUCGGAUGAAACCUCACGCUACAGAGCAUACAAGCAGAAGCAGCACUAUCUGGUAGCCACUUUGGUGGCUCUGUUUCGAGAAUCUCUCUCGCGUUGCCAAAGUUGGCUUCGGUGAGAGUGUGAGCCAUCUCUUGCCAAGCUUGUUCGAGAAGAUGUUGUCCCGCGAAAAAUGAAAUGCCGCUCUCGAGGUUGCCUGAAGUAAGAGCGGUUGCUUUACCACGUGCUGCGAGUAACAUAUCGACUAUCACAUCCCACAUUGUUAGCUCCUUGUCUUCAUCAAGGAUCUGGUUCCAUCCCAUCUCUCCCUCGGGGAAGUAACCACCGUUGAAGCUAAGCCC
rnacentral:lncRNA from 1 species